rnacentral:rRNA from 1 species
ACGUAGGGUCCAAGCGUUAAUCGGAAUUACUGGGCGUAAAGCGUGCGCAGGCGGUUGUGCAAGACCGAUGUGAAAUCCCCGGGCUUAACCUGGGAAUUGCAUUGGUGACUGCACGGCUAGAGUGUGUCAGAGGGGGGUAGAAUUCCACGUGUAGCAGUGAAAUGCGUAGAGAUUUGGAGGAAUACAGAUGGCGAAGGCAGGCCCCUAGGAUAACACUGCCCGUUAUGCACGAAAGCGUGGGGAGUAAACAG